AGGACCAUGUCUGGUGGGUAGUUUGACUGGGGCGGUCUCCUCCUAAAGAGUAACGGAGGAGUACGAAGGUGCGCUCAGCGUGGUCGGAAAUCACGCGUAGAGUAUAAAGGCAAAAGCGCGCUUAACUGCGAGACCCACAAGUCGAGCAGGUACGAAAGUAGGUCUUAGUGAUCCGGUGGUUCUGUAUGGAAGGGCCAUCGCUCAACGGAUAAAAGGUACUCUGGGGAUAACAGGCUGAUACCGCCCAAGAGUUCAUAUCGACGGCGGUGUUUGGCACCUCGAUGUCGGCUCAUCUCAUCCUGGGGCUGAAGCAGGUCCCAAGGGUAUGGCUGUUCGCCAUUUAAAGAGGUACGCGAGCUGGGUUUAGAACGUCGUGAGACAGUUCGGUCCCUAUCUACCGUGGGCGUUGGAAAUUUGAGAGGAUCUGCUCCUAGUACGAGAGGACCAGAGUGGACGAACCUCUGGUGUACCGGUUGUGACGCCAGUCGCAUCGCCGGGUAGCUAUGUUCGGAAGGGAUAACCGCUGAAAGCAUCUAAGCGGGAAGCCUACCUCAAGAUAAGAUUUCCCUAGGACUUUAUGUCCUCUAAAGAGCCGUUGAAGACUACGACGUUGAUAGGUUGGAUGUGGAAGCAUAGUGAUAUGUGAAGCUGACCAAUACUAAUUGCUCGUGAGGCUUGACUAU
rnacentral:rRNA from 1 species